GAAUGUGCCAAGAAGGAGAAGAAUUUAAUAGUUCCAACUGUAGCAGAUUUGCAGCUUCCAGAUGAUAUAGAGUGGAGUUUCAUUGGGAAUUUAUAGAGAAA